rnacentral:rRNA from 1 species
GAUGAACGCUAGCGACAGGCUUAACACAUGCAAGUCGAGGGGCAGCGAGAAAGUGCUUGCACUUUUGUCGGCGACCGGCGCACGGGUGAGUAACACGUAUGCAACCUGCCCUUGUCAGGGGGAUAAGCGGGGGAAACCCCGUCUAAUACCGCAUAUAUGAUUUGGAGGCAUCUUUAAAUCAGGAAAGAAUUAUCGGACAAGGAUGGGCAUGCGGGACAUUAGGUAGUUGGGGGUGUAACGGACCACCAAGCCGACGAUGUCUAGGGGUUCUGAGAGGAAGGUCCCCCACACUGGUACUGAGACACGGACCAGACUCCUACGGGAGGCAGCAGUGAGGAAUAUUGGUCAAUGGGCGGGAGCCUGAACCAGCCAAGUCGCGUGAGGGAAGACGGCCUACGGGUUGUAAACCUCUUUAGUCGGGGAGCAAAAAGACGCUACGUGUAGCGUUCUGCAUGUACCUUACGAAUAAGCAUCGGCUAAUUCCGUG